CUAGUCGAUAGAGCAAUGUAGGUAAGGGAAGUCGGCAAAAUGGUUCCGCAACUUCGGGAGAAGGAAUGGCUCUGAAGGCUGGGUGCGGGGGUCCUCCGCUUGAGGCCGGCUGGCUGCGCUGGGACUACGGCCUUUGCGCCGCGGACCCGGCGCGGCCGUCCGGCGGACGGCGGAGGAGCGCUCCGGCAUUCCCCGCACGCUGAACAGCCGCUUCAGAACUGGCGCGGACAAGGGGAAUCCGACUGUAUAAUUAAAACAAAGCAUUGUGAUGGCCCUCA
rnacentral:rRNA from 1 species